GCCCCUGUAGCUCAGUUGGCUAGAGCAGCGGACUCUUAAUCCGCGUGUCCAGGGUUCGAGCCCCUGCGGGGGCA
rnacentral:tRNA from 2 species